rnacentral:hammerhead_ribozyme from 1 species
AUCCAGCUGACGAGUCCCAAAUAGAACGAAACGCGCGUCAAACCGGAU